rnacentral:rRNA from 1 species
AACGGCUACCACAUCCAAGGAAGGCAGCAGGCACGCAAAUUACCCACUCCCGGCACGGGGAGGUAGUGACAAAAAAUAACGAUGCGGGACUCAUCCGAGGCCCCGUAAUCGGAAUGAGUACACUUUAAAUCCUUUAACAAGUAUCUAUUGGAGGGCAAGUCUGGUGCCAGCAGCCGCGGUAAUUCCAGCUCCAAUAGCGUAUAUUAAAGUUGUUGCAAAAAGCUCGUAGUUGGUUCUGUGUCCCACGCUGUUGGUUCACUGCCUGUCGGUGCAACUGGCAUGUCGUGGGAUGUCCUGUCGGUGGCGUCCGGGGCCUUCGUUUGAGCGUCGUCGCAAGUCGGCACUCGGCGUUGUGCUUCCGGUCGCCGACUCAAUCCUGCCGCGGUGCUCUUCACUGAGUGUCGAGGUAGGCCGACACGUUUACUUUGAACAAAUUAGAGUGCUUAAAGCAGGCUGAAUUAUGCCGGAAUAGUGGUGCAUGGAAUAAUAGAACAGGACCUUGGUUCUAUUUUGUUGGUUUUCGGAAUCCAAGGUAAUGAUCAAUAUGGACAGGCGGGGGCAUUCGUAUUGCGACGUUAGACUUGGCAAAUGCUUUCGCNNNNNNNNNNNNNNNNNNNNNNNNNNNNNNNNNNNNNNNNNNNNNNNGGUGAAAUUCUUGGAUCGUCGCAAGACGGACUAUUAGAGGUUCGAAGGCGAUCAGAUACCGCCCUAGUUCUAACCAUAAACGAUGUCAGCCAGCGAUCCGCCGGCGUUCAUUGCAUGACUCGGCGGGCAGCUUCUCCGGAAACGAAAGCUUUCGGGUUCCGGGGGAAGUAUGGUUGCAAAGCUGAAACUUAAAGGAAUUGACGGAAGGGCACCACCAGGAGUGGAGCCUGCGGCUUAAUUUGACUCAACACGGGAAACCUCACCAGGCCCGGACAUUGGAAGGAUUGACAGAUUGAUAGCUCUUUCUUGAUUCAGUGGGUAGUGGUGCAUGGCCGU